UGCCUAGGGAUCUGCCCAGUCGAGGGGGAUAACAGUUGGAAACGACUGCUAAUACCGCAUACGCCCUACGGGGAAGGAGGGACCGUUCGGGCCUUCGCGAUUGGAUGAACCUAGGUGGGAUUAGCUAGUUGGUAAGGUAAUGGCUUACCAAGGCGACGAUCCCUAGCUGUUCUGAGAGGAUGAUCAGCCACACUGGGACUGAGACACGGCCCAGACUCCUACGGGAGGCAGCAGUGGGGAAUAUUGCACAAUGGGGGAAACCCUGAUGCAGCCAUGCCGCGUGUGUGAAGAAGGCCUUAG
rnacentral:rRNA from 1 species